UACGUAGGGUCGCAGCGUUAUCCGGAAUUAUGGUGCGUAAAGAGCUCGUAGGCGGUUUGUCGCGUCUGCUGUGAAAACUGGAGGCUCAACCUCCAGCCUGCAGUGGGUACGGGCAGACUAGAGUGCGGUAGGGGAGAUUGGAAUUCCUGGUGUAGCGGUGAAAUGCGCAGAUAUCAGGAGGAACACCGGUGGCGAAGGCGGCUCACUGGACUGGUAUUGACGCUGAGGUGCGAAAGCGUGGGGAGCAAACAGG
rnacentral:rRNA from 1 species